ACAGCAGUCGCCACGGUAAUACAGAGGGCGCGAGCGUUACCCGGAUUUACUGGGCGUAAAGGGCGUGUAGGCGGCCUGGGGCGUCCCAUGUGAAAGGCCACGGCUCAACCGUGGAGGAGCGUGGGAUACGCUCAGGCUAGAGGGUGGGAGAGGGUGGUGGAAUUCCCGGAGUAGCGGUGAAAUGCGCAGAUACCGGGAGGAACGCCGAUGGCGAAGGCAGCCACCUGGUCCACUUCUGACGCUGAGGCGCGAAAGCGUGGGGAGCAAACAGGAUUAGAUCCCCAGUAGUCCCUGUCUCUUAUACA
rnacentral:rRNA from 1 species